rnacentral:rRNA from 1 species
AUACGUAGGGGGCGAGCGUUGUCCGGAAUGAUUGGGCGUAAAGGGCGCGUAGGCGGCGCGGUAAGUCUGGAGUGAAAGUCCUGCUUUCGAGGUGGGAAUUGCUUUGGAUACUGCCGCGCUUGAGUGCAGGAGAGGUAAGUGGAAUUCCCAGUGUAGCGGUGAAAUGCGUAGAGAUUGGGAGGAACACCAGUGGCGAAGGCGACUUACUGGACUGUAACUGACGCUGAGGCGCGAAAGUGUGGGGAGCAAACAGGAUUAGAUACCCUGGUAGUCCACACUGUAAACGAUGAAUGCUAGGUGUAGGGGGUAUCGACCCCUUCUGUGCCGCAGUCAACACAAUAAGCAUUCCGCCUGGGGAGUACGGCCGCAAGGUUGAAACUCAAAGGAAUUGACGGGG